AACGAACGCUGGCGGCAGGCUUAACACAUGCAAGUCGAGCGCCCCGCAAGGGGAGCGGCAGACGGGUGAGUAACGCGUGGGAAUCUACCCAUCUCUACGGAAUAACGCAUGGAAACGUGUGCUAAUACCGUAUACGUCCGUCGGGAGAAAGAUUUAUCGGAGAUGGAUGAGCCCGCGUUGGAUUAGCUAGUCGGUGGGGUAAAGGUCUACCAAGGCGACGAGCCAUAGCUGGUCUGAGAGGAUGAUCAGCCACACUGGGACUGAGACACGGCCCAGACUCCUACGGGAGGAAGCAGUGGGGAAUAUUGGACAAUGGGCGCAAGCCUGAUCCAGCCAUGCCGCGUGAGUGAUGAAGGCCCUAGGGUUGUAAAGCUCUUUCACCGGUGAAGAUAAUGACGGUAACCGGAGAAGAAGCCCCGGCUAACUUCGUGCCAGCAGCCGCCGCCGUAA
rnacentral:rRNA from 1 species